CUCGGGAGGGCAUCGCGCGGAGG
rnacentral:miRNA from 1 species